rnacentral:lncRNA from 1 species
GUGGGACCCAUAAGUGUGGGCUGCCCCAUAAGCGUGGGGCAACCCUAUAAGUGUGGGGUGGGACCCAUAAGUGUGGGGUGGGACCCAUAAGUGUGGGCUGCCCCAUAAGUGAGGAGCAGCCCUAUAAGUGUGGGGUGGGACCCAUAAGUAGGUGUGGGCCCCAUAAGUGUGGGGCAGCCCCAUAAGUGUGAGGGAACACAAAAGUGGGGAGCAACCCUAUAAGUGUGGGGCAGGACCCAUAAGUGUGGGGCGGCCCCCUAAGUGUGGGGUGG